rnacentral:sRNA from 1 species
GUCGUGAGAGGUUGGGUUAAGUCCCGCAACGAGCGCAACCCUUGUCCUUAGUUGCCAUCAUUUAGUUGGGCACCCUAAGGAGACUGCCGGUGUUAAACCGGAGGAAGGUGGGGAUGACGUCAAGUCCUCAUGGCCCUUAUGUCCAGGGCUACACACGUGCUACAAUGGCCGGUACAAAGGGCAGCAAAGCCGCGAGGUGGAGCAAAUCCCAAAAAGCCGGUCUCAGUUCGGAUUGGAGUCUGCAACUCGACUCCAUGAAGUUGGAAUCGCUAGUAAUCGCGGAUCAGCAUGCCGCGGUGAAUACGUUCCCGGGCCUUGUACACACCGCCCGUCACACCACGGGAGUUGAUUGUACCUGAAAUCGGUGGGCUAACCUUUUAGGAGGCAGCCGCUUAUGGUAUGGUCGGUGACUGGGGUGAAGUCGUAACAAGGUAGCCGUAGGGGAACCUGCGGCUGGAUCACCUCCUUUCUAAGGAGCCUUCCUGCUUCGUAAGAAGCUAGGCACCUGUAAAAAAAUCUUCGAAGUCUGCUAUUCAGUUUUGAGAGACCAGGCCCUCUUCCCUUAAAGGAGAGGUUUUUUGAUCUUUACAAGCGAACGAACAAGCGAAGUGGGCUAGUAGCUCAGCUGGCUAGAGCACACGACUGAUAAUCGUGAGGUCGAAGGUUCAAGUCCUUCCUGGCCCACCAGAUUGUUUCGGGGGUGUAGCUCAGUUGGGAGAGCGCCUGCCUUGCACGCAGGAGGCCAUCGGUUCGAACCCGUUCACCUCCACCAAAUUCGCUUAACAGUUUACGUUCUUUGACAAUUGCAUAUAGACAGAUACGAUGCACAAUCGAUUAAGUUAAUAAGAUCGAGGCAAUCGAUCCGAAAUACGUUUUAAGACUUUUUUAUGGUCAAGCUACUAAGAGCGUAUGGUGGAUGCCUUGGCAUUGGGAGGCGAUGAAGGACGUGGUAAGCUGCGAAAAGCUUCGGGGAGCCGCUAACAGGCAUUGAUCCGGAGGUAU